rnacentral:lncRNA from 1 species
UAGAACAAUGAGAAAUAUAACCAACUAAAAUAUGUUAUCUAAAAUAGAUGACCAAACAAUAAUCUAAGCUUGACAAUCAAGUUAUUUGGUUCAGUUAUAGUGUUUACAGAUCUUCGUGAAAAGGUAUUUUAACCUAUAUCAAUAAAAGGUAGAGAGAAUUCUUGACUACCACUGUGAAUGGGAAUCAGUUUAGUUCGAUGUGCGACAAUACAGUUAGAGACUAUGACCAUGACAUUACUUCGCCACUAUGGCCCCUACAAUCUGUUGUGAUCUGCUCUCGUUAAAGGGAAACCUAGUACCAUUUCAUAGGGAGUAAUUUACCAACAGUCAAUAACAGUCAUAUUCUAUCAUUCCUUAGUAAUAACGGUCAAAUGAAUUUCACUCAUUUCGUUGUUUCUUAAUAGUUGUGGGAUCGUAGUCUAAGUUAUAGUUCAUGGCAUCCAUUUCAACCCAUCGGAUCUAUCAAAUUAGUCUUAUAAACUUACCAGAUUCCCAAUUUCCUAACACCCUAAUUUUCAAUUGGCCUAGGCCUAUUUAGGCCGAAACAGUGAACGAGAACCCAACAGGGGUCCACUUAUUAGAAUCAAACCCGAUUGGAGCCCACUAAACACACACUAGACUUAUAUAAACAAGGGUCCAUUUACUGACCCAACCUAAUAAGGGCCCAACACACCUGAAGCAGACUUAGUGGGGGUCCACUAACCAACCCUAUCCAUUUCAUCGAUUAACUCGAACUAGACCCAGUGGCAGUCCUUUAGAUUAAACCAAACUCGGUGGGGGUAAGCAUCUCAACUCAGCCAAAUUAAGGCCCACACAAUCGAACCUGGCAAACAUGGGGUCCCAUAAACCUAAAUUAAGCUAU